GCCUACGACCAUACCACCCUGAAUACGUCCGAUCUCGGAAGCUAAACAGGUUCGGUCCUGGUUAGUACCUGGAUGGGAGAUCGCCUGAGAACACCGGGUGAUGCAGGCU
rnacentral:rRNA from 1 species